GAUGAACGCUAGCGGGAGGCUUAACACAUGCAAGCCGAGGGGCAGCACGAGGUAGCAAUACUUUGGUGGCGACCGGCGCACGGGUGAGUAACGCGUAUGCAACCUACCCUGUACAGGGGGAUAGCCCGGAGAAAUUCGGAUUAAUACCCCAUAAUGAUAUUAAGAGGCAUCUCUAUAUAUUUAAAGUUUCGACGGUACGGGAUGGGCAUGCGUGACAUUAGCUAGUUGGUAGGGUAACGGCCUACCAAGGCUGCGAUGUCUAGGGGUCCUGAGAGGGUGAUCCCCCACACUGGUACUGAGACACGGACCAGACUCCUACGGGAGGCAGCAGUGAGGAAUAUUGGUCAAUGGGCGUAAGCCUGAACCAGCCAUCCCGCGUGAAGGAAGACGGCGCUAUGCGUUGUAAACUUCUUUUCCGGAGGAAUAAAAUUUCGUACGAGUACGGGACUGAAGGUACUCCGGGAAUAAGCAUCGGCUAACUCCGUGCCAGCCGCCGCUGUAACAC
rnacentral:rRNA from 1 species